rnacentral:misc_RNA from 1 species
AAAGUCGUAACAAGGUUUCCGUAGGUGAACCUGCGGAAGGAUCAUUACCGAAUUGUCAAAGGGGGGGCUGUCGCUGGCCUCUCUCAUCUGAGAGACACGUGCACGUCCCUUCUCACAUCCAUUCACACCUGUGCACCCCUUGUAGUCUUUGAGCGGAGAGGAUGGCCUGCCGGGUCCCCUCAAUGCUUGGGGAACUAUGUCUCUUUACAAACACCUUUCGUACAGAAUGUCAAAUUAGCGCAUACACAUGCGAAAUGCAAAACAACUUUCAGCAACGGAUCUCUUGGCUCUC